AGGACGAACGCUGGCGGCGUGCUUAACACAUGCAAGUCGAGCGGAAAGGCCCUUCGGGGUACUCGAGCGGCGAACGGGUGAGUAACACGUGGGCAACCUGCCCCUAGCUCUGGGAUAACUCCGGGAAACCGGGGCUAAUACCGGAUACGAUCUUCCAUGGCAUCUCGGAAGAUGGAAAGUUUUUUCGGCUAGGGAUGGGCCCGCGGCCUAUCAGCUUGUUGGUGAGGUAACGGCCCACAAGGCGACGACGGGUAG
rnacentral:rRNA from 1 species